CAUGGAACUAGUUGUAAUAUUACUAGGAAAAAAAGUGCAUUAGCCAAACCACAAACAGGGAGCUUUAAAUAAUAUUUAACAUUUGUUGGGACAUUUGCGAUUGCUAUUCUUUCUAGGUGCUGGCUGGCUGACAGUUUUGGCCAGCAAACAAACACACAAAAGUUGAUUUUGUUGUUGUUUGGGCAACAAUUGCAAUUCGUAGUUUACAUUCUGUGUGAAUUAUGCAUGGACCAUGGUGCACAUGCAUUUUUAAUUGCCUAAUUGGCGGCUCCAAUGCGCUUCAUUAAGGCGACUGUGUGAAUGAGAAAAACAAAACUAAAGCAACAAACAGCAAACUAAUAAUAAUAAUAGAAAUUGAAAGAAAAGAACAGCAAGCUGUAGAGAUGCUCUUCUACCCAUAUUCAUAAUGGCCUCAACAAGGGCAUAGAAAACACAUCAAUGGAAUCGCUUGGGCCGUUCCCUGCUCCUUUCGUGCCGUUUGCUGCUUUUGGAAGGAUAACAAUGCCAUCCAAUCAUGCGGAUCAUGCUGCACUCACUCUCCUGCCGCGCUCUCCCACUCAAAGUGCAUUUUCUAAUUGCAACAAAAUCCUUUUCACUAAUAG
rnacentral:lncRNA from 1 species